GAGGGUAGCUGCGGGCAGUGCAGGAAGCUGACUAUUUAGGCGAGACAAAAGUGUCAUAGGAGUCCUGCUGUCACUGUGGAUUGAGCCUGCUUGCUGAGCCCUGAGGCUGUCUCUGGUGGUGGAGGGCUUCCGCAGGAAAGAGGAGAGCAGCCAGGCGCUUGGCAGUGAGGACCCCCAAGG
rnacentral:lncRNA from 1 species